ACACACUCACGCUGGCACACGCAACGCGGGCUGGGAAACGCUCGCCCCCUGCGCAGGCGGGCAGAGAGUUUAGCUCUGCCACAAGACUCCUGUAGCUGUUACUUCCACUGGUUCCACCUACGAAUAAAGCAAUUGGAGGUGACUGUCCAAUUGUAUGUAGCAACGAGGUAUGUCCACCAGAUGGCUCUACUUCAAGGAGUAAUACAAUUCUGUUGUGUUGGAAUAAAUUGCAGUGGCUGCAUGGUCUGACCUUGGACAAAGCAGGUCUUUUGGAUUGAGGGGGCAGAACUGGAACGCAGGAUGCCUGCUGAUCGGGAAGUGCGCUGAGAUUUCUCCUACAGACUUAGAUUCUAAUUUCAUUUGUAAUUUGGAAUGGCUCCCAGUGCUCUGCAAGGCCUGUCUAAAUGACUAGAAGAUACUGAAAUAAAAAAGAAUAAUUAACAUAUAAGUGGAAGAAUGGAGUAAACAUGACUGUGGAUGUGUUCUUAGAGGAAGCUGGGUGGUCGUCUUCAAAAGAAGUUGCCAGAAAGCAAAGAGAAAUAGUUUGGAUUGAGGUUUUGGUUCUAUACUCUGCACAUAAAGAGAAUCCACUUUGAUAAGGAUAUGGGAGAGAGUGAGAAGAGGACAGCCUGGAACAUGACCAUGCAAAGCUGUUUGUAAGUAUUUUGCAGAUACAUAGAAGGGAUUGGAAAAAGGCAGUGACUUCCUUCUCAGAUAUGCUUGCAAGUGUAUAAGAGACGUGAGGAGUUAAGAACACCCUCAUCCGAGGGCAAAGUGCAGAUCUUCCAGCCUCAUCCCAGGAAUGAUGAAAUAGAUCUGCUUCCAUCUGUUGUGAAAUUUGAAGGGACUGGGACUUAUUCUCACUCUGUAUUCAGCAUGGGUGAGUCAUGUACCUCACCAUAGUGCUGGAGACAGGAACCCAACAUCAAAGACAAAUCCCUCAUCCAGCCCAUUCAUCUUGGUUCCUUGUGCUUCAGUGUCCUAUGGGCUAGUGGCUUUGUUUAGACUGGGUUACUCUUUUAUAUCCUUUUAGCUGAAAAAGCCAGCACUUUCAGGUAAGAUGGUAAGGUACAAGGUCUAGCCUUAUAAUCAGUUAUGUUCCCCCUGUAUGGAAAUAAAAUUAUAUU
rnacentral:lncRNA from 7 species